rnacentral:rRNA from 1 species
UCUAGAGGCUUCGUCAAUGGGGGAAACCCUGAACGAGCGACGCCGCGUGCGGGAUGAAGGCCUUCGGGUUGUAAACCGCUUUUGUUCGGGAAGAAUGCCCGUGUCGUGAACAUGGGAGGGACGGUACCGAGCGAAUAAGCCUCGGCUAACUCCGUGCCAGCAGCCGCGGUAAGACGGAGGAGGCAAGCGUUGUUCGGAAUUAUUGGGCGUAAAGAGCUCGUAGGCGGACCGGCAAGUCUGACGUGAAAUCUCCACCGCUCACCGGGGAGAGGCCGUUGGAAACUACCGAUCUGGAGUUUGGCAGAGGGUCGUGGAAUUCCGCAUGUAGCGGUGGAAUGCGUAGAUAUGCGGAAGAACACCUGUGGCGAAGGCGGCGACCUGGGCCAUGACUGACGCUGAGGAGCGAAAGCCAGGGGAGCAAACGGG